rnacentral:rRNA from 1 species
AUACGAAGGGUGCAAGCGUUACUCGGAAUUACUGGGCGUAAAGCGUGCGUAGGUGGUUGUUUAAGUCUGUCGUGAAAGCCCUGGGCUCAACCUGGGAACUGCGAUGGAAACUGGACGACUAGAGUGUGGUAGAGGGUAGCGGAAUUCCUGGUGUAGCAGUGAAAUGCGUAGAUAUCAGGAGGAACAUCCAUGGCGAAGGCAGCUACCUGGGCCAACACUGACACUGAGGCACGAAAGCGUGGGGAGCAAACAGGAUUAGAUACCCUGGUAGUCCACGCCCUAAACGAUGCGAACUGGAUGUUGGGUGCACUUUGGCACGCAGUAUCGAAGCUAACGCGUUAAGUUCGCCGCCUGGGGAGUACGGUCGCAAGACUGAAACUCAAAGGAAUUGACGGGG